ACUCCCUCUUCCAGGCUUUGCCAGAUCCACACAAAGGAGUUCAGCUCUACGUGGAGAAACAAGAGAAAAGUCCAAAAUAAAAGACUAGAGAGCAAAAUGGGUAUCAGCCAGUUACUGAAUAAGCCUUCAGAUAAGGAUAAAGAAAUGUAUCCAGGAUUUCAAGUGUUCACCUUGCAGCCGGAAGUUAAUGUGAUCAUCACUCCACUGGAUAAACCACUGCCAGAUUACCUGGGUUGCUCCAUCUUUACCACACUGUGCUGUUUUUUACCUGUUGGCCUUGCUGCUCUGGUUUUCUCCAUCACAACUCGAGAUGCAAACCUGUUUGGACACCGAAAAAUUGCAGAGAAAAACUCCAGAAUGGCACUCAGACUUAACCAAGUCGGUAUUGGUAUUGGCAUUACAAUAUAUUUGUUAUUUAUCAUCUUGUUGUUGUUUUUUGGUUUGUAAUAGGGUCUUUGUACAUUUUUCUGUCGACUUUCAUAUUACUUUAGCUUCAGGAAGUGCACGUUAAUGGCUCAUAUUGACAUUAAUUUACUGUCAUACAACUGCAGAGGACUGUGUGUGGGAGCCCAUCGUAUUGUUGUUGACAAACGUUUGGAUAACUGUGAAAUUUUAUGUUUGCAAGAGACUUUUUUUGCCUUAGCAGGACUUGGAAUAUUUUUAUUCUUUUGAUAGUAUUUUUUAUUAAGCUGAUGAAUCCACAACAGAUGCUGGUAUGGGAUUUAUUAAGUCUUUAUUUUUAUACAGAUGUUUUAUUAACAUUUUUUUUUUUAAGUUUAAGUUUUUUUAAAUGUUUUUAACAAUAAAAGCUGUGAUUAUCAAACUGAAUGUACCAUAAGGUGAAAUGUUUUUACUUUAUAUUUUACAUAUUGUAUAUUCAUUAAUGCGUAGUGUAUGAUGAAUAACAAAUGUAUUCAGAAUUCAUUGUAAUCAGAUAUGAACUUGCUGUCAUGUUUUUUUUUUAGGAAUGUGCAAAUAUAAACUGAUUUGCAUCUUAAAGUGGAUUUUCUGCAAUGGCUUUUAUAAACCUCUCACUAUGUUUUGGGUUGUUCAUCUAACCUUUUGUAACGUUUCUGGAAUAGCACUAUGUAAACAUGCAUAUUAUAAACGUCCAGUUUCAAUAAAGUGUUCUUUAUUAUUA